UGCACGGUGGCGCAGUUGGUAGCACUGUUACCUAGCGGCAAGAAGGUCCUGGGUUCGAUUCCCGGCCGGGGGUCUUUCUGCAU